GAUGUACUCCCUCCGUCCGGAAAUACUUGUCAUCAAAAUGGAUAAAAAAGGAUGUAUCUAGAACUAAAAUACAUCUAGAUACAUUCCUUUUUUUAUUCAUUUUGAUGACAAGUAUUUUCGGACGAAGAGAGUAAUUU
rfam:Triticum aestivum genome assembly, contig: Triticum_aestivum_CS42_TGACv1_scaffold_249149_3DL